rnacentral:misc_RNA from 1 species
AAGAGACGUUGCCCUUCGGGGUAUACCUCCCACCCUUUGUUUAUUAUACCUUUGUUGCUUUGGCGGGCCCGUCCUCGGACCACCGGCUUCUGCUAGGGUCAGUGCCCGCCAGAGGACCUAAAACUCUGUUUGUUAAUAUUGUCUGAGUACUAUAUAAUAGUU